UGACUUUUGACAGAUGCCAGAUAUUGUCAAAAUUUCUCCAUUUUUUGUUCUUUCAGAAUGAUCCAUUGAGAAAGACGCAUCGAAUUCAGUUUUUAUAACAGAAAUCCUCAAAGUUUUCCCAUUUUUGGGAGCUUAAAAUAAUUCAAAUAUGAGAGCAAAGUGGCGUAAGAAGCGUAUGCGAAGGCUAAAGCGUAAGCGCAGGAAGAUGCGUGCGAGAUCCAAGUAAACUGCAUUUACUGGGAAUCUACAUCAGCUGAUUUUAUAUACAUUGGACGGUGUAAUUUUCAUUUAAGAAAAACUGAAAAACCCAUUUAAGUGUCUUGUGAAUAUUUAGAUGGUCAAAAAAAAUGGAUAAAAUUUGAA